CCGCUCCGCACAGUAGUCGCAGCACACACACACACCUCAAAGCACCAUGAAGGCUUUCGUUUGCUCCUUCCUCGUAGUCCUGCUGGUGGCGGCCGUGUUCGCCCAGGAGAAGGCCAAGGAGACCCUGAAGGGCGCCGAGGCCUACUACGCCUACGCCGCCCCCUACGCCUACAGCGCCUUCGGCUACCCCGCCGUCAGCGCCUACUCCGCCUACCCCUAUGCUGCCGCCGGCUACCCCUACUACUACCGCUGAACACGGACACGACUUCUAUGAGGAUGCGGUUCUUACUACAGUGACUACUGUACUCUCUUCCUUCCUUCAAUAAAUACAUCUGUAUCACAAAA